rnacentral:lncRNA from 1 species
CACACAUUUCACAUACACAUUUCAGGAUGUUGACAUGGGCCACUUCUUGCUGAAGUGUCAAGUGAGGGGCCAAAGCAAUAGAUUCAGGUGCCAGCAUGUUUAUGAAGCAAAUUCUCCCACGGGCAUAACUUACCAAAGGAAUGUGAGCAAACUAGUUCCAAGACUCGUUGACCCCUUCAGCCAGACGAGGUUACCAAAUGGUGUAAAAGUGUGAGCAGAGAGAGGAUUUGGGAAAGGUUUCUUUGGAGGGAGCUGUUGCUGUCCAAGCAAAGGAGGCAUCACAGAGGAUGCUCUCUGCUUCCACUCUAGUCUAACGGUGGUGAGAUCUUCCAUGGGACCGUUCACAGAGGUUGAAAUGUGUUCCAUGCAUAGGCUGGUGCCUAAUGCCCACCUGAGAGGGUGAAAGCAACCUGUGGCCACAAAAGAGAAGCGGCUGCCUUGGGAUGGAUGAGCACUGCUAGCGUUUGUCAAAGGAAGCAAGAGCUCCAGUGAUGACCUCACCCCUGCUUUUCCAAGACAAACCAAACCUUGUGCCUGCACCAGGUUCUUUGUACCUGUUCAUCCUCAUGUGAGAAAUGGAAGACUUAGAAUUGAGAAUAAAGAUAAUGGAGUAAAGGAGGAAGCGGAGGAUCAAGGCUGCCCCAGGGAGAGAAGCCCAAGGCCUUCUGGCCUACCUGCCAUCUAUACCAGCCUCCAGGAAGUAUAGGACGUCCUGACCUGAUUCAUAUCUAAAGUUGUACAACCACACGAUAACCAGGCCCCACCUGCCCUGACACCAUUUUAAGGACUUUUUUACAUGAUCUUUCCUUUGUUUUGUAAGAAAAUAACUCACAUAUCUGUGCCUUAUAAAUUUAACCCUACUGCUAACCCAUUGCAGCUCUUCACUGCCCACGGGUCCUGUCCCCAUGCUGCAGCCCUCCACUGCCCACGGGUCCUGUCCCCAUGCUAUUCUCUGAAUAAAGGAGCACUACUACCAGACCUUGAGAGUCCACAAAAUCUUUCUUUCUACUCCUCACCUCCCUGAGCCCACAUCAAUGAUAACUGAUUAAUUUGAACUUACUGUAGUAAUCGUAGUAAGCAGAGGAAUAAGAGGGUAUGCUUGCUGUUUACAAUGCUUGUAAUAUUUCGGAAAGUUUAGCAUAUUAGCAAAUC